rnacentral:lncRNA from 1 species
GAAGAUGAAUUGAAGAAUUUAAGAGGAGAUGGAAAAGGAGAGCGCAAAGAAUAUGAUAGGAUCUAUGAUUAUGAUGUUUACAAUGAUUUGGGGAAUCCAGAUAGCAAUGAAAAAUAUGCUCGCCCUGUUCUUGGAGGAUCUACUUUACCUUACCCUCGUAGAGGAAGAACAGGAAGACCAACCACUAACAAAGGUCAAUUAUUGAUUUAUUCACAUGUAACAUGUUUAAUUUGUGUUAUUAGUGCUAAUUAAUUUUGCUUUCAACUUAAUUAAACAGAUCCUAAGAGCGAGAAACGGAGCGAUUUUGUUUACCUACCAAGGGACGAAGCAUUUGGUCACUUGAAGUCAUCAGAUUUUCUAACUUAUGGACUAAAAUCUGUAGCACAAGAUGUGAUGCCUGUUCUCACAGAUGCAUUUGAUUCAAAUAUCUUAACUCUUGAGUUUGAUGAUUUUGCUGAA